UUUCCUUGUCUUCAAGUACCUUUAUUUGUUUGAUCCAAAUUAAAGCAUCAUCCUCUUCUCUUAUUAUAGAGAAAGAAGCAAAAAGAUAGAAGAAAAGAUGAUGGCCCAGGCUGAGGGAGCCCAAGAAGAUGAAUCUGGACAGGCCCAGCUCAUCCGGGAAACAAACACCCACAACCACCCGCAGGAAAAUAGUUCAAAGCAACCUGGUCAUGUCAGCCACGAUCAGUUCUGUGAUGCCAUGCACGAGAAAGCACUGAAUGGUGAAAUGACAUGGAGGAAGAUCUCUACUUUGUCUCUCCAGGGGAAGGGAAGAUCCCAGAACAGCCCCAGUUGCAACAGAGGUUGAGAUCCCAAGCAAAAACAGCUCAAGCAAAGUCUUUUGGCUUUUGACUGAAGAUAGAUGAAACACAUCACCAGUUAUCCUACCCUUCCAACUCUUUUUUUUUUAUCAGCCUGUUGAUAUGCCAAGAGAAGCUACUUUUUGAUCUCUAUCAUUCCACUUACUCGUAUAUUUAAAAUUAUCUUGUUUACAGCCACCUUCACAUGAAAUGCUUGGCAAUUGAUUUUAUCA